rnacentral:rRNA from 1 species
CGGACGGGUGAGUAACGCGUAGGAAUCUACCUGGUAGUGGGGGACAACAUGGUGAAAACCAUGCUAAUACCGCAUACGCCCUAAGGGGGAAAGCGGGGGAUCUUCGGACCUCGCGCUAUUGGAUGAGCCUGCGUAAGAUUAGCUAGUUGGUGGGGUAAAAGCUCACCAAGGCGACGAUCUCUAGCUGGUCUGAGAGGAUGAUCAGCCACACUGGAACUGAGACACGGUCCAG